AGGUUUCCAUUCUUGCUUCUGAGUUUCCUUCGCUCAAGAAGUAUAGAAGCUGUGAUAUAUCACCUUCUAGUUGGUUUUCUGUGGCCUGGUAUCCAAUAUAUAAAAUACCAGUGGUAUCAUCAAUCAAGAGGGUGGAUGCAUCUUUCCUGACCUACCAUUCCCUGUCAGCUGACUCAAGAAGGAAAAACCAACUGGAGUUUAGUAGCAGGAAGGUCCGUGAUGAUGAUGAAUCCUUAAAUAUAUCUCUUCCCACUUUUGGCCUUGCCGCUUAUAAGUUGAGAGGCUCAAUACUAGCUCCUCAUAGAGACUCUGAAUGGCACAAAGUGGACUCUCUUUUGGAAGCUGCUGCUGACUGGCUACAGAAUUUGCAAGCGAACCACCCAGAUUACCUGUACUUUGUUAGCCACAGUACCUUGUACAGAUAAUGAAGAAAGAUUCAAAAUAUUCUUCCACACAUUCAGAGUCAGAGAAGCUUCUGCAUCGAGUAUAGCAUCGACAUGAAACUGAAUUGAUAUGCCGAAACAUUCUUACUAACUAUAUUCAGUAUCAGCUGUUAUUUUCGGUC